rnacentral:rRNA from 1 species
AGCAGCCGCGGUAAUUCCAGCUCCAAUAGCGUAUAUUAAAGUUGUUGCAGUUAAAAAGCUCGUAGUUGAAUUCCGGAAUCUGUCCAUUGGUCGGGCUUCACUGUCCGUACUGGUGUGGUGGGUUCUUACCUUCUGAAUAACCAGCAUGCCAUUCACUUGGUGCGUUGGGGAAGCAGGACUAUUACCUUGAAAAAAUUAGAGUGCUCAAAGCAGGCUAGUGCCUGAAUACAUUAGCAUGGAAUAAUAAAAUAGGACGGCAUGGUUCUAUUUUGUUGGUUUCUAGGAUCACCGUAAUGAUUAAUAGGGAUAGUUGGGGGCAUUAGUAUUCAAUUGUCAGAGGUGAAACUCUUGGAUUUAUUGAAGACUAACUUCUGCGAAAGCAUUUGCCAAGGAUGUUUUCAUUAAUCAAGAACGAAAGUUAGGGGAUCGAAGACGAUCAGAUACCGUCGUAGUCUUA